rnacentral:lncRNA from 1 species
CUCCGUCAAGUUAGAUCCAUGAUUCCCAAGCUGAAGUUGGAUAACAUAUUAACAUUUACGUUCAUUUAAGAAAGAAGGAUGUCAAGUCCCCUAAAGUUGAAGGGGAAGGAAAGAAACUGCAGAAAAUUAGCUGAUAAAAGAUGUAAACCCUAAGAGACAUACUUGACUUCUCCUAUAAACCAUUAAGCAACAGACAAGAAAUACUAUGAUUUCACUCAGGAUAAUAGUCCUCUAGGAUAUCCACACAUCCAUUAAGCAACAGACAAGAAAUACUAUGAUUUCACUCAGGAUAACAGUCCUCUAGGAUAUCCACACAUAGCACGUGUACCAUGGAAAGAAUAAAAUAAUGCCCUGUUUUCAGAGCAAGUUCCUCGAUUUGACUAUACAGAAUUUCUAGAAUAAUAUAAUCGUUUAUUGAGUCGACGUCCAAAUUACAGAUUGUUCCAUGACAACUGAUCCACAAACAAGGUAACAGACUUUUUGAUUCACUUAGAUGUCUGAAAGCUGAAAGUGGGAUGGCUAAAACGUUUGAUUAUAAAUGCUAAACGGUGAGAUACUUGAUUUCAGGGAAGUGAAUGUUAAUUUGUCUUGGCGCCAAAAGGGAGAACAUAGCAUUCAAUUUGGAAAGGACAAAGUAGCCAUGUUGCUCCUCAUUUUUUCAUCAGUAAAAGUAAACCUAUUGCUCCAUUGAGCACAUUUUGCAGAUUUUCCUGUUUGAAGA